CCGGUGAUCUCUGCAAAUCAAUGCUUACCCAGAAGGAAAACCAAUUUACAUUGGUGGUCAUCAUUUCAAAAAGACUAGGUAAUAAGGUGAGAGGUACUGAAAUAGAAGUGCCAACAGACAAAAUUGGAGAGAAGCAUUUGGUAGGAUGGUUUGCAAAAAACCCCUCAAGCCUCUGCUUGCCUAAUUGAUAUGCUGUUCUGGAACAAUUCAGCCUGACACAGGUGCUCCUGCAGGUUAGUUAAAAGGAGAGUGCAGUGCGGAAUCCAUAUGCUACCAUUCCGCCUUUCAAAGCAGCAGAGAAUCUGAGGCUGUGUCUCCAUUAGUAAUCACCAGACAUAACAGUUAAACAUGUAUCACACCAGGCUCAAAAAUCCCUGGAAGAUACUUUGUGUCCAUUCUGUUCUACUCUGAAUCUGUUCAUAAUAUUGGUAAAAUGGGACAAGAGGUUGGAGAAGAAGAAGAAGGGAAGGAAACCCCCGACAAGAUUUGGAAAGCAGAGAAUUCACAUAUUCUACUCUUGGAAGCUUAAAGAGUGUCCAACAGAGUGCCUAAUAAAGCGUAAAGUGAAUAUUUAUUGAACCAAUGGUGACCAUGUGCUAAGAGGUUGAACAUAUCAGUUAUCAGUGGAGAUUCUGGC
rnacentral:lncRNA from 1 species